rnacentral:lncRNA from 1 species
CGGUAACCACUCCAAUCCAGACCAAAAUAACACCCUAGAAUCUCCUCUUCUCCCUCAUCUCGAAUCUGGCCAUAGCAUUCCUCGAAUCAUAGCCGAACGAUUCGAAUCUUGAAGCGAAGUUUUCCGGCCAAAACCCAAAUUCGUCUAAACCUCCCCAAAAUCACACCACAUACUCCUCUCACCACCCUUUUCCUAAACCUUUGACUAAUUUCCUUCGAAUCCCACUGGAUUGCCGCGAAUUUUGGAUCUAGGGUUUCUGUCGACGUUUCUGGAAUUUCUCGGGUUAGCCAAGGGCCCAUAUGGUUUCAAGUUGUAUUAUGUGAGCGUUCUUGGAAAGAACAAGAACAUAAUAUUGUUUGGAAACCAAGUGAGAAGUCAGUUGAGUCGAAGGUUUGAAAUCAGUGAGUUUCUCUCUUCAUUGUAUUUUCGAAUUGUCCUCUCUUCUUGACGAUUUUGCUUCAUUAAUUGAUCUGGAUUCGGUGUUAUCUAUCUAGGGUUAGUAAUUGAAGUUUUUCUUAUUUGAUUGUUGUUCGAGUUCUGUUAAAUAUUAAUUUUGUCAUUAGUAUAAGAAUUAGUUCUUGUUCAGUGUUUAGUUUAGUUUAAAUUUUGAUGUUUCAUUUUUUUCAAGUUGAUUUGAAUUUCAUGUACAAUUGGAGUCUGUGAUGAUAGGUUUAAUUCUCGUUUUAGUUAGUUAAUUUCUUCACUUUGAUUUAGUUGCUAAGAAUAGUUCAUUAAUAGGUUUAACUUCGUAUUUAGCUUAAUAUGUCUAGCUAGUUUGAUUUUAGGUGAUUAUCUGCUUAUGAACAUUUGAUUUAGAGUUAGUUUAAUUAAACCAUAGUUUUAACUGAGGUGAAGGGUUGGUCAGUUUGGGGUAAAUAACAGGGCAUUGCAAGGGUAGUUUAGGAAUGAUAGGGUAAAGAAUCUUGUAGUUGUUACUUGAAAUUCCUAGAGCAUUCUCGAAGGGGUUUUAGGGUGAGAAUUCAGAAAGUAAUUGCACUUACUUGAGGAACAAGUCAAUGACUAAAGGACUAAUCUGAAAAUAAAUAAGGGACUGAAUUAUAAACAGAAAUUAAGGGGCUGCCCUCAUCUUUGUCUAUAAAAGGCAUGCCUCUUUGCCUUAACAAAGAGGUGGCAACCAAAAAAAAUUCCCCCAAAACUCUCCCUAAUCUCAGAUCUAAUUUUGAAAUUUAAGCAUUCAAAACCCCCAAAAAAAGAUAGAAAACCUCUAGAAAAACCAAAAAUAAUCAGGAAGUAUUGUUCUAAUGAAAAAUUAACAAGUUAGUUCCGGGAUUGGUGCUGGGUCUACUUGAGUUUUGCAAGUGUAUUUGGUUCACUAUUGGUUUUAAUCAUCUCUAACUGAUUCCUGGGCUAAUUGAAUACUGAUUUUGUUGUUGUGGUUUGCUGUAAAAACUGCUGCUGAUAUUCUCUUCUUCUUCUUACAUUUCAUAUCCAGGUACACAUUCAAAAUUCUGAUGUAAUUAUGAGCUUGAACAUGGAAUAAAUUGCACACUUACUUGGUUCUGAGAACUGUUGCUGGCUGUUGGAUUUAAAUGGAUGUUAGAAUUGUUAAGCAUAGUUGAGUAGUGAUUUGUUGUACAUAAACUUUGGAUUUAUUUUUAUUCAUGGACUGUUAGCUGAUUCAAGGUCUUCUGAUGCGAAUUUUGUAGUCAUUAGGUGAUAAUUGGAUCUGAUUUAAACUUCUAGUUGAUAUUAUUGAAUGUUAAUUAAAGCUACUGAAUUCAAAGUAGAAGUUUAACUACAAACUGAAAAUUGAUUUGAGCCCAGUCAUGAUUUAAUGUUGAGGUCAGCU